rnacentral:rRNA from 1 species
GAUGAACGCUGGCGGCGUGCCUAAUACAUGCAAGUCGAACGCAUUGUGGUUGAAAUGAUGUGAAGAACUUGUUCAGAUUUGAUUUUCAACAUUGCAAUGAGUGGCGAACGGGUGAGUAACACGUGGGAAACCUACCUCUUAGCAGGGGAUAACAUUUGGAAACAAAUGCUAAUACCGUAUAAUAAUUAAAACCGCAUGGUUUUAGUUUAAAAGAUGGUCUUGCUAUCACUAAGAGAUGGUCCCGCGGUGUAUUAGUUAGUUGGUGAGGUAAUGGCUCACCAAGACAAUGAUACAUAGCCGAGUUGAGAGACUGACCGGCCACAAUGGGACUGAGACACGGCCCAUGCUCCUACGGGAGGCAGCAGUAGGGAAUCUUCCACAAUGGACGAAAGUCUGAUGGAGCAACGCCGCGUGUGUGAUGAAGGGUUUCGGCUCGUAAAACACUGUUGUAAGAGAAGAAUGACAUUGAGAGUAACUGUUCAAUGUGUGACGGUAUCUUACCAGAAAGGAACGGCUAAAUACGUGCCAGCAGCCGCGGUAAUACGUAUGUUCCAAGCGUUAUCCGGAUUUAUUGGGCGUAAAGCGAGCGCAGACGGUUAUUUAAGUCUGAAGUGAAAGCCCUCGGCUCAACCGAGGAAUUGCUUUGGAAACUGGAUAACUUGAGUGCAGUAGAGGAAAGUGGAACUCCAUGUGUAGCGGUGAAAUGCGUAGAUAUAUGGAAGAACACCAGUGGCGAAAGCGGCUUUCUGGACUGUAACUGACGUUGAGGCUCGAAAGUGUGGGUAGCAAACAGGAUUAGAUACCC